UAUAUAUUAGGUUGUAUAUAUAUAAAGAGAAAAUUAGAGGAAACAUAACCCUCCUAUAAUUAUUUAUAUAUAUAUACACACAAAAAUAUAUAUAUUAUAUACAAAAAAAAUAUGAUGAAGCAAGUUAUGGCGUCCAAAGCUCUUGUUAUGGUGGUACUUUUGUUUACAUGCUUAUUUUCAAAGGCUCUUGUCCAAGGACGAACAAUGGAGAUCUUGAUGAAGAGAUCUGAUGAAAUUAAAAGCGGUUAUAAUAUUAAGAAGAUUAAUGAUGAUAAUAAUGAAUUUACAAUUAAAAUGGAGCAAGGUUUUGUUUUUGCAGACUACCAUCCACCAAAAACACACCCUCCUGUGCAUAAUAUACAUGAUUAGCACAGUUAGUACCAAGGCUUCAUAAUAUUAUUGUGGCAUAUAGUCAAAUAAAAUUUGAUGUAAUAAGGUAUAUUUCCUUUAUAUAAAGAUUCAUUCUUGUGUUUGGCAAAGAUUUAUAGAAAUAAAUUUAUAUGUAAUUUAAGAAUAAAUUUACAUAGUGAUGCCUUCGAGUUAAGGGGGCAGCACCCAUGCAUGAUGUGAUUUAGUCCGUUUUAGAGUGCAUUUGUUUUUUUUUUUUUUAAAGAUUCAGAUAUUUAAAUCUAAAUGUAUAUCUGAAUAAUAUAAAAUAUUAUAUCUGAAUUUGAAUAUUAAAAUAUUUACACGUUUUUUUUUA